rnacentral:rRNA from 1 species
AACGAACGCUGGCGGCAUGCCUAACACAUGCAAGUCGAACGAGACCUUCGGGUCUAGUGGCGCACGGGUGCGUAACGCGUGGGAACCUGCCCUUAGGUUCGGAAUAACUCCCCGAAAGGGGUGCUAAUACCGGAUAAUGUCUUCGGACCAAAGAUUUAUCGCCUUUGGAUGGGCCCGCGUUGGAUUAGCUAGUUGGUAGGGUAAAAGCCUACCAAGGCGACGAUCCAUAGCUGGUCUGAGAGGAUGAUCAGCCACACUGGGACUGAGACACGGCCCAGACUCCUACGGGAAGCAGCAGUGGGGAAUAUUGGACAAUGGGCGAGAGCCUGAUCCAGCAGUGCCGCGUGAGUGAUGAAGGCCUUGGGGUUGUAAAGCUCUUUUACCCGGGAUGAUAAUGACAGUACCGGGAGAAUAAGCUCCGGCUAACUCCGUG